UCGGACCAGGCUUCAUCCCCCCC
rnacentral:miRNA from 1 species